rnacentral:piRNA from 1 species
UGAAUGAGGUCUAGGAAAUAAUUUGC